GAGAGAGGAAGGGCAGCCGCCGGUCUUCAUACGAAGGCUGAGGAAAGUCCCCCCACCAUAAAAACACGAAUGCCGAGAGGGCAUAAGGCGAGAGUCUUGGCUCUGGUAUAGAAACGAUACCGUGCCAUAGCUCGAUGAUGAUUCCGCAAGGAUGAGGUCUUAUGGUCACGGAUGGAACGACCAUCCUCGUGGGUGCAAGCCUGAGCAAGGCGCGAAGAUGAAUGCUGCCGAAACAGAAGGGGGCUUACUCUCCUCACUC
rnacentral:RNase_P_RNA from 1 species